AUUUUAAUUACUUUAUAAUUUUAGUAGCUAAGUAUUAAACUCUGUAACCAAACGACAUCCCUCCGUCAAGCCACGUCGUCAUUUUUUUAUUUGAUUUUUCUCUCUCUCACAUAGCCUUUCUUUUCUUUCAUAUGGUCCGACAUGGACUCUAUAUCCAUAAACCAUAUACUUGCCUAUUUUACAUUUCUUUCGAUUCCAACACACACGCACACAUGGGCUCACAUGGCAUCUUGUCCAGGAGGCAUGUAUUUGCUUUUCAAUUAAAACUGUCAUCUCUCCCCUCUCUCUUUCCUCUCUCUUUCUCUACAUUUUUUCCUAACCAAAGACAUGAGCACACAAAGAA
rnacentral:lncRNA from 1 species